rnacentral:misc_RNA from 1 species
UGAUCGUUCAUUUGUUUAGAUACGCAAUACGUGUAUUAUCAAACUGUUCAAAAUGUUACGGAGUAAUAAGUAAUUCUUAGCUAAUUCAUUGGAAUUACCUGCUUUUAAGGGCUUUUAAAUAUCAAAGGCUUUUAAAACCAUUUUUAAAGAAAAAAAUUUAAUGUGUAUAUAGCUCUAUAUACGUUUUCAUUUUUAAAAUAUUGCACAUUAGUUGUAGAAUCUAAUUUUUUUUUGGAAGAAUAUCUAUAUUUUAAGAAAAAAAGUCUUGCACGUGUGUCUGUCAGAGAGAGAGAGAGAGAGAGAGAGAGAGAGAGAGAGUAUAAAAACUAUUUGUACCUUUUUAUUUAUUUUUUAAUUAAAGGAUAACACGGGUUGUCUCUAU